GGUUUUGCUAAAUUAAAAUAUGACUGUACAUAGCUCCUAAACUGGAGUGGUCAAUCCCAUCUUGACACACGCACCGACAAGUCAAGUACUUGACUACACCCAGCAGCCUUCCGUCACUGAAUUAAAAAUUCAGGUAGUCCAGUGCCUAAGUGCAGUGAGUUGCUUGCAAGUCACCGUGGCGGUCUCAGGUCAGAGGAAUAUUUAUACCCAUAUUCCA
rnacentral:lncRNA from 1 species